rnacentral:rRNA from 1 species
ACUCCUACGGGAGGCAGCAGUGGGGAAUAUUGGACAAUGGGCGCAAGCCUGAUCCAGCAAUACCGCGUGUGUGAAGAAGGCCUGAGGGUUGUAAAGCACUUUCAGCGAGGAGGAAGUUAUAAUGGUUAAUACCCAUUGUGAUUGACGUUACUCGCAGAAGAAGCACCGGCUAACUCUGUGCCAGCAGCCGCGGUAAUACAGAGGGUGCAAGCGUUAAUCGGAAUUACUGGGCGUAAAGCGUGCGUAGGCGGAUAAUUAAGUCAGAUGUGAAAGCCCUGGGCUCAACCUAGGAAUUGCAUCUGAUACUGGUUGUCUAGAGUAUGGUAGAGGAUGGCGGAAUUUCCGGUGUAGCGGUGAAAUGCGUAGAUAUCGGAAGGAACACCAGUGGCGAAGGCGGCCAUCUGGGCCAAUACUGACGCUGAGGCACGAAAGCGUGGGGAGCGAACAGGAUUAGAUACCCUGGUAGGCUCU